GCUGGAUUAGUUCAUUUGGCAGAACCCCGGUUUUGUACUCCGGCAAGGCGGGAUCGUAGCCUGCAUCCAGCACCA
rnacentral:tRNA from 1 species